GCCAGGAGACAGAGAAAAUCACCACCACCAUCUACCUCCUUCAAUUUCAUCCUCUUUCACCGCCGCCGCCACCACCACCACCACCACCAUCUUCUUCGUUCUUCUUUUCUCUUCAUUUCCCUAGGUUUUGCGUUUUGAAUUGAUGUUCUAACCUGCAACCCUAAAUACCAGAUUAGAUGAAUAACGUCGAAGCCCAAGACUUAGAGUUUGGAAUUGAUAUUCUAACCUGCAACCCUAAAUACCUUGGAUGGAUCACGUCGAAGCCUAAGACUUAUGGAGCUAGCUCGAAUUGUAGAGCAAGCCGAGAGUGAUGCAGACAAAAAAAGCCAUUGAGGAAUGCUCAGUAUAAAGCGAAACAAGAGAAAAUGUCAGACGAUGAAAGAAAGGCAUUGAAGGAAGAUGUCGUGUUGCUUAUCGCAAUCGAUUUGGAGCCAGUACAAGUUGUAAGCUUACCAAUUCUGUAAUGCACAUCCCAUAAUUUGGUUAAUUUGACACAAUCAAAUAGAAUGAGUAACAUUUCAGCCCUUUCUACUUCUCGCAAAACCGCGAAUUAAUCAUUUGAUCUUGAAACACACCACUACUAAUUUUCUCUUUAGUUAUUACCUCUCUCACCCAGUCACCCUCAGUAACUAUGUCUUUCUUUAAUAACUACGUCAUUAUGUUUUCAUUCCUGUAGUGUUUUAGUCUUUCUUAGUAGCUGCUUCUUUAGUAGAAUAAAUUUUGAGACCAUUCCACACCAAAAAUGUACAGUAUUAUGUCAGUGAUUUUCAUGUUUUGAUUAUAAAAAUUUUGUUUCGGUUGAAAAGCCACAUUCGAUAGUGAAAUUCAUUGGUGAUAUGUAUUAUGUUUUGGGUUUUUAGUACGUUGAUCAUUUUCUGUUAUUUUUAAAACACAGGUGCACAACUCUUUAACUUGCAUUAGCUUUAUAGUCACAUUGCUUACAUCAGACUUAGAGAUAUUUCUUUUCGUAAUCCGUUCAAGUUGGUGCAUCUACUAUAAGCAGGUCAGAUUAACACUUCAGAUUGUUUCAAUUUUGCACUUCACAUUGAUGUUCAAUGUUUGAAAGGGAAAAAAAUAGUUGCAAUCGGAUCAAGGUUAUAGGUACAUUUCAGAGUUCAUGUUAAGUUGUUAACUCUACCAAAGAUUAACAUUACCUGUUUGAGUAAAUUCCCUAGAAGAUAUCGUUGUUUGAUGUUUUAUUCAAAUAUUUCUAUGUACCUGUUCAUGAAAGAUUAAUGGGUUUGUCUGCUUUUGAAAAUUAGUGUGGUUGUUGUUGGCGGUGAGUUGUGGUGCUGGUUAAUUGUGAGCAGAAAUGAUGGGAGAAUCUGAGAUAGAAUUGUUGAAGGUUAGAAACAUGUUUCCAAUUGUGAUUUGUAUACCUGAGAACUAAUGUUUUCUCAAUAUCAAUAUUUUGAAGUUGAGUCUAAUGAUGUGCAAAAUGCUUCCGUUGAGUUGGUAGCAAUCAAGUCUGUGGUAAGUUGAAAUUUCUAUGAACAGGAAGUCUACUGAUAGUUGUGUGAUUGCAUAUCUGUUUGUACUUUUAAGUAUGAGGUCGGAGUGUUGUAAUUUUUUAAAACAUUGAAGGUCCUGAACUGCCACAGUAACAACUAAUAACUGUCUAAGUCCUAUAAAAUGUGAACUAUCAAUGACGAGCCAAAUCAGUUGAUGUUAAGGAAUUAGUUGUUUCUCGCUAUUUGACUUUCAUGGAUGAUCUGGUGGACACAUUGCACAACAAGAUUCAUCAUGUGUCUUUACAGCUUCUGAGAUUGUAGUCUUCCUUAUUUUCCAUCCCAAUUUUAUGUCUGGAUGGAAAGUUACUUAUCAGCAUUUGACAUUAUGAAUGCAUCCAAAAAUUAUCCUCGGAUUUAUUGGUUUUCUGGCAUUGUUUUUCUUCUCAAACGAAUACAGCCAAAAUUAUUCUCAGUUUAUAAGCUUUCUGGCAUUGUGUUUCUUCUCUAACAUUGAAUGUCAUUUUGACAGAUUAUCCGGGAAAAAAGACUUGAGAUGCACAAAAAGGAAAUUGUGUGUUUUCCUUAUCAUUUACUUCUUAUUUUGUUUCAGUUAUAGCUGUAUAUGAGAAAACUAGACAUUGACGCGCACCUUUUUAUGUUCUCUUCAAUAGUGCAGUUCAUAAGCUAGAGGCGGUAAUACUAACAUGAAAGAUCGGGUAAUCGGUAUGGUUCAACAACCUGGUAGUUGCUUAAUGUUUUGAACAAGUGAGUUUGGGACAGUUCAUUGUUGCUGAAAAAGAGCAAGGUGUGGAUGCUUCUAAGGAUGCCAAAUGAUAAAAUAAACUAUUCAGUAUUUACUGGCAUAUGGCUUAUGGAGAUAUUGCCAUUAUCAUUUGGUUUUUGUUUAUCACUUUUGUACUAUGAGAUAUUAUCAAAUUCAGGUUUGGGUAUGCCAGGUAGUUUAUAUAGAUUGUUUAUAAUAUAUUGAAAAUUCUUGGGCAA